rnacentral:pre_miRNA from 1 species
CUAGUACUCCCUCCCUUCGGAAUUACUUGUCGCGAAAAUGGAUGUAUCUAGACGUAUUUUAGUUCUAGAUACAUCUAUUUCCGAGACAAGUAAUUCCAAACGGAGGAAGUACUAU